GGUCCCAUCGUCUAGCGGUUAGGACGCUGGCCUCUCACGCCGGAAACCCGGGUUCGAACCCCGGUGGGACUACCA
rnacentral:tRNA from 1 species